GCUGGAGGUAGAAGGUGGAGUUGAGCAGCUCUUCCAGCCUGCGCGGAACGUCGUUCUCGCGGUAAUACUCCAUCGCCUGCUGCUUCAGCUUCUGCAGCUCCCUAGUGGUCCCACAGCUGCGGCCGCCGCCUUCUUCCCCCAUGAUGAAAACAUCUGAGAUUCAGGGCAAAGCACCUUGCCCAGGGCCCCACAAGGAAUAGGUGAUGGAGAGUGUUGGUGUGUACAGAUUCUGUGGGUGUACAGCAAAGAACAAAAUGAAGUGUGAUUCCAGGUGGGAGAUGACUGCUUCAGGUGCUGUUUCCCUCUGGAACAUCAGGCCUUUCUGUGUUCUGGGGCAGGCUGCGGCAUCCCCUUGGAGGGGGUCAGCGUUGGGAGAUGUGUCUGUGUCCCUCUCCCUGACGUCACUGCGGUUACGGUUGGUGUCGAGCAGCUGAGCAGGCCUGACAUUGUUAGUGUGGAGCCCAGAGAAAUCUUAAACAGAGAAUUGUUACGUGUAGAUACGAGGAUGCCAUAUCCCCCACUGGAUUUCCUCUGCUGGAGCCACGGAAGCAGUGAAUAGAAGACCAGCUUGUCCCUGAACUUGACGGCGUCAGGAGCGGCUGGGCUCAGAUCACCGCAGAUGACUGUGUGGGGGUUACCACUCAGCAUACUAAGCCAGCACCUUCUUUCCUGUUGUCUGUGUAACUCCCAUUGUUUUAACCGAGCCGACUUCGUAGCCAGGGCUUCAUUCACUAUAGACAAAGCCUCCGUUAGAAAAAAUUAGAUCUCUGAAGCUUUUAGAGAGCUGGGGGAAAUCACAAGCCAUUAGCAAUGGAAGUUUCAAUUCCAGAUCCCUAGGCAGUAAUGACAGAUGGCAGUUCUCCCUUGUUAAUUCUUAAAAAAAAUAUAUUAAAUAUGAAAUAAACAGACCUAGGUGGUGGGGGCAGGGAAUGGCUUCCAGUAAUUAUUUAUUCCUGCCUGACUCUGGAAUGCAGCUUAGAGUUAGCAAUACAGAUGAUUCUGGCAAACUAUAGCUUUCAUUUUCAAUGUUCAACAGUACAGUUGAGAUAUACAUACAUUUAUAUGUAUCUAGAAUACUGGAGUGGAUUGUCAUUUCCUUCUAUAUAUA